CAUGAUGGAUUAUGUGCAUUGUUUAGUAUCUCUCACAGGACCUGGUAUGACAGAGGUUGUUCUACCCGCCUUCCCUUCUACUGCUAUAUUGCCAAAGGAGCCAAAAAAUGGAAAGUUGUGAGGGUGGAAAUGAAGUCAAGUUCAUCCUUAGACUUUAAUGACUCUGCUGUGAGUGAAGCCAUUUUAAACCAAGUCCAACAAAGGUAUGACACGGUCAAGCUUCAGUGGAGAGUCCAGCCCGACGGGAAGAUAUUUCAUAAAAAAGAAAAGAAGAAGACAUAAAGUUGCCAAUAUGAAAUUAUCUGCACUG